AUAGAUUCAGCACAUGAAAGUAGGAAAAAAGGACUAAGAAUUUUAUUGAAGACGGGAAUUGAUUCAUUAUUUAAAAAUAAUGCUUCAGUAAGUUAUACUGCCAAAUAAAGGAUGAAUCCAAUAAGUUUGAUUCCAGGAAAACAGGGAUCAACAAAUUCAGCAGCAAAAUAACAGCACUUUCAACCAAAAUAAGGUUAGAAACCUAGAAAACUCGUCGGUGACCUCGAAUAAAUUUUUAGAGUUUCAAAUUCCUAGCAGCUAGAAAGUUAUCACCAUGGCUUCCUCUUUCCUCGUUCAUACUCUUUCCGCCUCCCUCUAUCUAUAUCUAUGUGUGAGCGUGUUUCUGAGUUAGGGAAAUACACUUAGGGAAUAUUGCUCUUUGAAAGUUGGGGAAGGCAGCUCUAAGGUGAAGAUGGGGGUUCGGGUCUGAUUUUCUAUCA
rnacentral:lncRNA from 1 species